UGCAGGAGUUGGUCUACAGUUAUUGUCUGAUUCCAUUGGCAGUUAUAUUCUAUGGCCGCGUGCAUUGGUGCGGUUAGCAUAUCAGGGUUCGGGGAAGGCCGACAGGAAGGGAAAGAAGGUAGCUUCACCUCAGGGAGGCCGACGUGCCCAAGUGGGAACGAAUUCUUCGGCAAAGUAUCCACUCAUUACGGAUAUGGAGGUGGUGCAACGCCUUACUAAACCGUGCUUCUGGCUACAUGAGUGCAUUAGUGAUGCAGCCGAUGGAGCAAUGAUUGAGAUUAAGUUGUCGCACCACCAAUUCCACUACAUUGAUGAGGAAACAUCGACCUUCAUUUCUAAGGAUGAUAUUAAAGAAUUCUUACUUGGGGAAGAGUUGAAUGUUUCCAUGAUACAAACAUUCAUGAGGCUAUUAUACAAUGAUGUGAGGCGAUCUAGUCAGCCAAUCUUUGGUUGGUUAUGUCCAAGCUUUGUACGAGAUGACAG